UCUUAAGUAGUAUAGUGGUUAGUAUUCAUGCCCGUCAUGAUCCGCAACUCUAGAUUGUGCAAGACCGGGGUUCAAUUUCUCGCCUGAGAG